rnacentral:lncRNA from 1 species
ACGAAUCACCUUUAAGAGAUAUGGUCACGCCACCACGCCAGGCACACUAGGCCGCUGAUGUAUAUAAGGACGAAUAGAUGCUUCGUUCCGGCAUAACGCAAUUUUUGUGCAAAUAUAAUAUUCUUUUUCACUUCACUACUCCUCAAAAAACCAACCAAAAACCAAAAAUGGGCGCUGAAAAAGUAUCCAUGAACAUCGUCGUCGUCGGACAAGUCCAACCUGCCAAGGCCAUCAAAUCGGUCGCCAAAGCCACCCCAGCCACCAGCCAAUUGAUGAAUUGUUAAUUAUAAUUCAUCAAGUCUCCAUAAAUCUCAAAUUCAAAAAUGCCAUAGUUCAAAACUCCAAUCAGCACAUAUAAUGAUAAUAAUAUAUUAUUUAUUGUGUGUUGACAUCGCAAAAUAAAUCUACUUUUCUGUCACUCAA